UAGAGAUGUGUGAUGACGCAUAUCAAUAAGCGGAGGAAAAGAAACUAACUAGGAUUCCCUUAGUAACGGCGAGUGAAGCGGGAAGAGCUCAAAUUUGAAAUCUUCAAGGUUCUACCUUGACGAAUUGUAGUUUAUAAGAAGUGUUUUCUGUUAGUGGAGUUGGCUAAAAGUUCUUUGGAAUAGGACAUCAUAGAGGGUGAGAAUCCCGUAUUUGGUCAUUCCUCCUAGCGUUGUGAUACACUUUCAACGAGUCGGAUUGUUUGGGAAUGCAGUCCAAAAUGGGUGGUAAAUUUCAUCUAAAGCUAAAUAUUGGCGAGAGACCGAUAGCGAACAAGUACCGUGAGGGAAAGAUGAAAAGAACUUUGAAAAGAGAGUUAAACAGUACGUGAAAUUGUCAAAAGGGAAGCGUUUGACACCAGUGUUGUUUUUCCGAAAAUCAAUUACGAAUGUUUUAUUUUUGAGAAGUUAUGACUUCAUCGGCUUGCUUCUCUCUUUAUGAAACUUUCUUAAUGCACUUUUCGGUUAACAAGUCAACAUCAAUUUCUUUUGUUGUAAAAGAGUAUGAGGAAGGUGGCUUUCUUUUCGGAGAAAGUGUUUAUAGCCUUGUACUUCUGCAAUCGGAGAGAUUGAGGUCUGCAGCGUAGAUCCUUCGGGGUUAGAUACAUUUGUGCUAAGUUAUAGCUUUUCAUAGACAACUUGUUGAUUAUGUUGAGUCUUGUAGCUUACUCGCUUAUGCUAUUUUACCUACGCUUAGGAUGUUGACGCAUGAGAUAUACGC
rnacentral:rRNA from 1 species